rnacentral:rRNA from 1 species
GCUCAGGAUGAACGCUAGCGGCAGGCUUAACACAUGCAAGUCGAGGGGUAACGAUGGCUUCGGCCAGGCGACGACCGGCGCACGGGUGAGUAUCGCGUUUGCAACCUACCUUUAACUGGAAGAUAGCCCUAAGAAAUUCGGAUUAAUAUUCCAUAAUACUAUAGUUUGGCAUCAUUUUAUAGUUAAAGCUCCGGCGGUUAAAGAUGGGCAUGCGUAACAUUAGCUUGUUGGUGAGGUAACGGCUCACCAAGGCUACGAUGUUUAGGGGGUCUGAGAGGAUGGUCCCCCACACUGGUACUGAGACACGGACCAGACUCCUACGGGAGGCAGCAGUGAGGAAUAUUGGUCAAUGGGCGAAAGCCUGAACCAGCCAUGCCGCGUGAAGGAUGACGGCACUAUGUGUUGUAAACUUCUUUUAUACGGGAAGAAACCCCUCUACGUGUAGAGGGCUGACGGUACCGUACGAAUAAGCAUCGGCUAACUCCGUGCCAGCAGCCGCGGUAAUACGGAGGAUGCAAGCGUCAUCCGGAUUUAUUGGGUUUAAAGGGUGCGUAGGCGGAAAUUUAAGUCAGUGG